CAGCGACGCCGCGUGGGCGACGAAGCUCUUUGGAGUGUAAAGCCCUGUCAGGUGGGACGGAAUCCGGAGGGAGUGAACAACUCGCCUUCGCUGACGGUACCACCAGAGGAAGCCCCGGCUAACUCCGUGCCAGCAGCCGCGGUAAUACGGAGGGGGCGAGCGUUGUUCGGAAUCACUGGGUGUAAAGGGUGCGUAGGCGGUCCGAUAAGUCUGAUGUGAAAGCCCUGGGCUCAACUCAGGAACUGCAUUGGAAACUGACGGACUGGAGUACCGGAGAGGGAAGCGGAAUUCCUGGUGUAGCGGUGAAAUGCGUAGAUACCAGGAGGAACACCGGUGGCGAAGGCGGUUUCCUGGCCGAGUACUGACGCUGAGGCACGAAAGCGUGGGGAGCGAACGGGAUUAGAUACCCCGGUAGUCCACGCUGUAAACGAUGGGUGCUAGGUGUUGGAGGUAUCGACCCCUUCAGUGCCGUAGCUAACGCUUUAAGCACCCCACCUGGGGAGUACGUUCGCAAGAAUG
rnacentral:rRNA from 1 species